AGAGUUUGAUCAUGGCUCAGAUUGAACGCUGGCGGCAGGCUUAACACAUGCAAGUCGAGCGGUAACAGGAGAAGCUUGCUUCUCGCUGACGAGCGGCGGACGGGUGAGUAAUACUUAGGAAUCUACCUAGUAGUGGGGGAUAGCUCGGGGAAACUCGAAUUAAUACCGCAUACGACCUACGGGAGAAAGGGGGCAACUUGUUGCUCUCGCUAUUAGAUGAGCCUAAGUCGGAUUAGCUAGAUGGUGGGGUAAAGGCCUACCAUGGCGACGAUCUGUAGCUGGUCUGAGAGGAUGAUCAGCCACACCGGGACUGAGACACGGCCCGGACUCCUACGGGAGGCAGCAGUGGGGAAUAUUGGACAAUGGGGGCAACCCUGAUCCAGCCAUGCCGCGUGUGUGAAGAAGGCCUUUUGGUUGUAAAGCACUUUAAGCAGUGAAGAAGACUCCAUGGUUAAUACCCAUGGACGAUGACAUUAGCUGCAGAAUAAGCACCGGCUAACUCUGUGCCAGCAGCCGCGGUAAUACAGAGGGUGCAAGCGUUAAUCGGAAUUACUGGGCGUAAAGCGAGCGUAGGUGGCUUGAUAAGUCAGAUGUGAAAGCCCCGGGCUUAACCUGGGAACGGCAUCUGAUACUGUUAGGCUAGAGUAGGUGAGAGGAAGGUAGAAUUCCAGGUGUAGCGGUGAAAUGCGUAGAGAUCUGGAGGAAUACCGAUGGCGAAGGCAGCCUUCUGGCAUCAUACUGACACUGAGGUUCGAAAGCGUGGGUAGCAAACAGGAUUAGAUACCCUGGUAGUCCACGCCGUAAACGAUGUCUACUAGUCGUUGGGUCCCUUGAGGACUUAGUGACGCAGCUAACGCAAUAAGUAGACCGCCUGGGGAGUACGGGCCGCAAGGUUAAAACUCAA
rnacentral:rRNA from 1 species